GAUGGGACCUAAAAAAGAUGGUUUCUGUCAUUUCAGGUCGUUCUUAUCUCACUGAUGUUUGUUCAAGAUAUAAAAACAGGCUGAGACGUCAUGAUUGACAGCUGAGCCUGACUCAGGAUUGGUCGAGCUAGUGCAUGGGCGGGGCGAUCACUGCUGCACUGAAGUCAAAAGCACACAAUGGCCGUGCACGGAUAUUUUGGCUUCAUUUUUAUGGGAGGAAGUGGAAACGUGUCAUCAAACUUUAUUUUGCAGUCAAUCUUUGUGACAAAGCCCCAAAAAACGAUCAAAGACAUUUCCUUUGAUCUGUUAUAAAAACUCAAACUUAAAAAUCUGAGUUUCUCUUACGUCUUUUUUUAAUUGUUAUGGUUCCAAUUUUUGCAGCUCGUUAGAAAACAGUAAAAACUGUUAUUUAUGUCAUUUAUUUUGCAUGGUUUAGUUUUUCCCCUUUUUCCUGUGAUGUAUCGUUUCUUUAGUUUCAUGGAGCCACAGACACAUUUUACUGUUUGGUAUAAAGACCAUUUUAUGUCAGACGUGUGCAGUUAUUGUCGCAGUGUUAAGCUCACGCUAGUGGCGCUCUGUUCCUGAGAAGAAGUGAGUUGUAAAGGCAAACUGUAACAGCUCAACAUGAGAGUUAUUAUUAUAUUUCUUUGUAAAUGUGUUUUUGUUGUUUCUGGAUGUUGAACCAGCCGAGGCUGAUUUCAUUCUUACCACUGACAGCUGUUUCCCUCUGUGUCUGCAUUUUGUUUUCUUAUCUUUGGAUUUUGUCACAUUCAUCAUGAAGCUUUGAUUUCAUUUGAGCCUCCAUCUGUCCGGGUCUGGAUUAUUAAUUUUCCAUAUUUUAUGCAGAAAGUAGAGACGGAGACAUUGUGCUCUGUUUGAAGCUGAAAGUCUUCAGUUGCAUUUAUUCAUUUGUUUCACUGCUGGAGACCAGUUGUGUGAGCAGGUCCAGUUGUUUGGAAGAAGCUGCGCCUCAUUUAUUUACCUCUUGAAAUGUGUUUUUCCUUUUUCUAAUUUUGUCUGGAAUUCCAUGUUCCUCUGAGGCCUUCAGGUCAGUGAGGAGCAGACACGUGUUCCUCCUCGGACCAGCUUCUUUCAAAUAUAAAAUCAAGGAAGUAAUUUAUUUUUUACUUGGUAUUGAUUUUCUCAGAACAAUAAAACUGAAGUACAACUGUU